GCUAUUGGAGUUCGAUUAAGCCAUGCGAGUCGAGAGUCCUCGGGACUCGGCGUACCGCUCAGUAACACGUGGGUAACCUGCCCUAUGCUGGGGAAUAACCUCGGGAAACUGAGAAUAAUGCCCCAUAGCCCACUACGCCUGGAACGGUGAGUGGGUCAAAGCUCCGGCGGCAUAGGAUGGGCCUGCGCCRUAUCAGGUUGUAGGGGGUGUAAAGUACCCCUCUAGCCCAUCAAACGCGUACGGGUGUUGGGAGACAUUGCCCCGGAGAUGGAUUCUGAGACACGAAUCCAGACCCUACGGGGUGCAGCAGGCGCGAAAACUUGCAAUGCGAGCAAUCGUGACCAGGGAACUCCAAGUGCGUAGGGUAAGACCUACGCUUUUCUUGACUCUUCAAAGGUCUUGGAAUAAGGGGUGGGUAAGGACGGUGCCAGCCGCCGCGGUAAUACCGGCGCCUCAAGUGGUAGUCGCUUUUAUUGGGCCUAAAACGUCCGUAGCCGGUCUGGUGCAUUCGUGGGUAAAUCAACCCGCUCAACGGGUUGAAUUCUGCGAGCACGGCCAGACUUGGGACCGGGAGAGGUGUGGGGUACUCUCAGGGUAGGGGUAAAAUCCUGUCAUCCUGAGAGGACCACCUGUUGCGAAGGCGCCACACUAGAACGGAUCCGACGGUCAGGGACGAAACCUAGGGGCACGAACCGGAUUAGAUACCCGGGUAGUCCUAGGUGUAAACGCUGUGGACUUGAUGUUGGGGGCGCUCCGAGCGCUCUCAGUGUCGAAGCGAAGGUGAUAAGUCCACUGCCUGGGGAGUACGGUCGCAAGGCUGAAACUUAAAGGAAUUGGCGGGGGAGCACUGC
rnacentral:rRNA from 1 species